rnacentral:rRNA from 1 species
UACAGAGGGGGCAAGCGUUGUUCGGAAUUACUGGGCGUAAAGGGCGCGUAGGCGGCCUGCUAAGUCGAACGUGAAAUCCCCGGGCUCAACCCGGGAACUGCGUCCGAUACUGGCAGGCUUGAAUCCGGGAGAGGGAUGUGGAAUUCCAGGUGUAGCGGUGAAAUGCGCAGAUAUCAGGAGGAACACCAACGGCGAAGGCAGCACUCUGGGCCGGUACUGACGCUGAGGAGCGAAAGCGUGGGGAGUGAACAGG